UACGGGGGGGGCAAGCGUUGUUCGGAAUUACUGGGCGUAAAGGGCUUGUAGGUGGCCAACUAAGUCAGACGUGAAAUCCCUCGGCUUAACCGGGGAACUGCGUCUGAUACUGGAUGGCUUGAGUGUGGGAGAGGGAUGCGGAAUUCCAGGUGUAGCGGUGAAAUGCGCAGAUAUCAGGAGGAACACCGGUGGCGAAGGCGGAUCUCUGGGCCUUACCUGACGCUGAGGCGCGAAAGCUAGGGGAGCGAACUGG
rnacentral:rRNA from 1 species